GCCCAGAUGGCGGAAUUGGUAGACGCGCUAGGUUCAGGUCCUAGUGGUGGUAACACUGUGCAGGUUCAAAUCCUGUUCUGGGCA
rnacentral:tRNA from 1 species